rnacentral:rRNA from 1 species
UACAGAGGGGGCAAGCGUUGUUCGGAAUUACUGGGCGUAAAGGGCGCGUAGGCGGCCUGCUAAGUCAGACGUGAAAUCCCUCAGCUUAACUGGGGAACUGCGUCUGAUACUGGGUGGCUUGAGUGCAGGAGAGGAAUGCGGAAUUCCAGGUGUAGCGGUGAAAUGCGUAGAUAUCUGGAGGAACACCGGUGGCGAAGGCGGCAUUCUGGACUGUAACUGACACUGAGGAACGAAAGCCAGGGGAGCAAACGGG